UACGGAGGGGGCUAGCGUUGUUCGGAAUUACUGGGCGUAAAGCGCACGUAGGCGGACCAGAAAGUUGGGGGUGAAAUCCCGGGGCUCAACCCCGGAACUGCCUUUGAUACUGUUAGUCUUGAGUAUGGAAGAGGUGAGUGGAAUUCCGAGUGUAGAGGUGAAAUUCGUAGAUAUUCGGAGGAACACCAGUGGCGAAGGCGGCUCACUGGUCCAUUACUGACGCUGAGGUGCGAAAGCGUGGGGAGCAAACAGG
rnacentral:rRNA from 1 species